GUGCCAGCAGCCGCGGUAAUACGGAGGGUGCAAGCGUUAAUCGGAAUUACUGGGCGUAAAGCGCACGCAGGCGGUCUGUCAAGUCAGAUGUGAAAUCCCCGGGCUUAACCUGGGAACUGCAUUUGAAACUGGCAGGCUAGAGUCUUGUAGAGGGGGGUAGAAUUCCAGGUGUAGCGGUGAAAUGCGUAGAGAUCUGGAGGAAUACCGGUGGCGAAGGCGGCCCCCUGGACAAAGACUGACGCUCAGGUGCGAAAGCGUGGGGAGCAAACAGGAUUAGAUACCCCUGGUAGUCC
rnacentral:rRNA from 1 species